rnacentral:rRNA from 1 species
AGUGAACGCUGGCGGUAGGCCUAACACAUGCAAGUCGAACGGCAGCACAGUAAGAGCUUGCUCUUACGGGUGGCGAGUGGCGGACGGGUGAGGAAUACAUCGGAAUCUACUUUUUCGUGGGGGAUAACGUAGGGAAACUUACGCUAAUACCGCAUACGACCUACGGGUGAAAGCAGGGGAUCUUCGGACCUUGCGCGAUUGAAUGAGCCGAUGUCGGAUUAGCUAGUUGGCGGGGUAAAGGCCCACCAAGGCGACGAUCCGUAGCUGGACUGAGAGGAUGAUCAGCCACACUGGAACUGAGACACGGUCCAGACUCCUACGGGAGGCAGCAGUGGGGAAUAUUGGACAAUGGGCGCAAGCCUGAUCCAGCCAUACCGCGUGGGUGAAGAAGGCCUUCGGGUUGUAGAGCCAUUUUGUUGGGAAAGAAAAGCAGCAGGUUAAUACCCCGCUGUUCUGACGGUACCCAAAGAAUAAGCACCGGCUAACUUCGUG